rnacentral:rRNA from 1 species
UACGGAGGGAGCUAGCGUUGUUCGGAAUUACUGGGCGUAAAGCGCGCGUAGGCGGCUUUGUAAGUUAGAGGUGAAAGCCCGGGGCUCAACCCCGGAACUGCCUUUAAAACUGCAUCGCUUGAAUCCGGGAGAGGUGAGUGGAAUUCCGAGUGUAGAGGUGAAAUUCGUAGAUAUUCGGAAGAACACCAGUGGCGAAGGCGGCUCACUGGACCGGUAUUGACGCUGAGGUGCGAAAGCGUGGGGAGCAAACGGGG